CCUCAAAUCAGGUAGGACUACCCGCUGAACU
rnacentral:ncRNA from 2 species